rnacentral:rRNA from 1 species
UACGUAGGGACCAAGCGUUGUUCGGAUUUACUGGGCGUAAAGGGCGCGUAGGCGGCGUGACAAGUCACUUGUGAAAUCUCUGAGCUUAACUCAGAACGGCCAAGUGAAACUGUUGUGCUAGAGUGCAGGAGGGGCAAUCGGAAUUCUUGGUGUAGCGGUGAAAUGCGUAGAUAUCAAGAGGAACACCUGAGGUGAAGACGGGUUGCUGGGCUGACACUGACGCUGAGGCGCGAAAGCCAGGGGAGCAAACGGG